rnacentral:rRNA from 1 species
GGAAAAGAAACUAACAAGGAUUCCCCUAGUAACUGCGAGUGAAGCGGGAAAAGCUCAAAUUUAAAAUCUGGCGGUCUUUGGCCGUCCGAGUUGUAGUCUGGAGAAGUGCUUUCCGCGCUGGACCGUGUACAAGUCUCUUGGAACAGAGCGUCAUAGAGGGUGAGAAUCCCGUCUUUGACACGGACUACUAGUGCUUUGUGAUGCGCUCUCAAAGAGUCGAGUUGUUUGGGAAUGCAGCUCAAAAUGGGUGGUAAAUUCCAUCUAAAGCUAAAUAUUGGCGAGAGACCGAUAGCGAACAAGUACCGUGAGGGAAAGAUGAAAAGCACUUUGGAAAGAGAGUUAAACAGUACGUGAAAUUGCUGAAAGGGAAACGCUUGAAGUCAGUCGCGUUGGCCAGGACUCAGCCUUGCUUUUCGCUUGGUGCAUUUUCUGGUUGACGGGCCAGCAUCGAUUUUGACCACUGGAAAAAGGCUAGGGGAAUGUGGCACCUUCGGGUGUGUUAUAGCCCUUAGUCACAUACAGUGGUUGGGAUCGAGGACCGCAGCACGCCUUUAUGGCCGGGGUUCGCCCACGUUCGUGCUUAGGAUGCUGGCGUAAUGGCUUUAAACGACCCGUCUUGAAACACGGACCAAGGAGUCUAACAUGCCUGCGAGUGUUUGGGUGGAAAACCCGAGCGCGUAAUGAAAGUGAAAGUUGAGAUCCCUGUCGUGGGGAGCAUCGACGCCCGGACCUGAACUUCGGUGAUGGAUCUGCGGUAGAGCAUGUAUGUUGGGACCCGAAAGAUGGUGAACUAUGCCUGAAUAGGGUGAAGCCAGAGGAAACUCUGGUGGAGGCUCGUAGCGAUUCUGACGUGCAAAUCGAUCGUCAAAUUUGGGUAUAGGGGCGAAAGACUAAUCGAACC